rnacentral:rRNA from 1 species
UGCCAGCAGCCGCGGUAAUACGGAGGGUACGACCGUUAAUCGGAAUUACUGGGCUUAAAGAGUUCGUAGGUGGUUUGUUAAGUGGGAUGUGAAGGCCCCGGGCUUAACCUGGGAACUGCAUUCCAAACUGACAAACUAGAGUACGAUAGAGGGGGGUAGAAUUCAGAGUGUAGCGGUGAAAUGCGUAGAUAUUCUGAGGAAUACCGGUGGCGAAGGCGGCCCCCUGGAUUGAUACUGACACUGAGGUGCGAAAGCGUGGGGAGCAAACAGGAUUAGAUA